AUUGAACGCUGGCGGCAGGCCUAACACAUGCAAGUCGAACGAGUGGCGGACGGGUGAGCUAUGUCUGGGAAAUCGUCUUAUGGAGGGGUAUCACUAGUGGAAACUGUCUCUAACACCGCAUCCCAUCUGAUGUGCCCAGAUGGGUUUAGCUAGUAGGUGGGGUAACGGCUCACCUAGGCGACGAUCCCUAGCUGGUCUGAGAGGAUGACCAGCCACACUGGAACUGAGACACGGUCCAGACUCCUACGGGAGGCAGCAGGGGGGAAUAUUGCACAAUGGGCGCAAGCCUGAUGCAGCCAUGCCGCGUGUAUGAAGAAGGCCUUCGGGUUGUAAAGUACUUUCAGCGGGGAGGCGUUACCCGCAGAAGAAGGACCGGCUAACUCCGUGCCAGCAGCCGCGGUAAUAC
rnacentral:rRNA from 1 species